rnacentral:rRNA from 1 species
UACGGAGGGAGCUAGCGUUGUUCGGAAUUACUGGGCGUAAAGCGCACGUAGGCGGCUUUGUAAGUUAGAGGUGAAAGCCCCGGGGCUCAACUCCGGAACUGCCUUUAAGACUGCAUCGCUUGAAUCCAGGAGAGGUGAGUGGAAUUCCGAGUGUAGAGGUGAAAUUCGUAGAUAUUCGCAAGAACACCAGGUGGCGAAGGCGGCUCACUGGCCCGAUACUGACGCUGAGGAGCGAAAGC